rnacentral:lncRNA from 1 species
AUGGGUUCCAAAAACUAUUCUGUGAAGAAUAUCCUUGAGUUAUGUUUACUUUCGUAUCUAUUCCUUCCCAUAUAUGCCAGAACUUGUCCCUAGUAUGUGAAGGGACACCAGAAUUAAAAAGAGAUGCUAAUCAUUUAGCAAAGAUCAAAUAUAUAAGGGAGUAAAAGUAAGAGAGUGUGAUAAAAGGGGUCUUAGAGAAGUUAAGAUAACAUGUUGGGAAUUCAUAGGUGUGAGAAGUAGAAAGUCUGGUGGUUCAUUUUCAAAAUAUAAUAUUUAGCUUUAAUUGGGAUAUAAGAUCCAGUGACAGCCAUUUUGAUUAUAGUGUUUUCCUUUGUUCUACGAAAGUUUAAAAUUAGCCAAUUGCAUUGUAAUCCCGAGCUCCUCCUUUCAGAGCAAGGGGCAGUGAUUACUUCAGGAAUUAAAAACAGGUGGACUGCUCACCCUAGCAUGCUUGCUUGCCGGACUUUGUUCAGUAAUACAUUCUUUCACAGAAGAAAAGUUUGCCUUAUUGAGUAACUUUUGAGGAUGUGUCUGAUUUCUGUGGCAUCCUGAUAUUUCUAACAUAGGGAAGAGAGAUUCUGAUCAUGGCAAGCAUUUUCAGGUUAUGACCAAAUUAUAAAGAAGACUUGAGAGCUCCAGUAAAUAGAUUUUAUGUAAUAAGCUUUUUGCCUUAUAAGCUUUUACUUUUGUAAUAUUAUAUAUAAAUGAAACUAAUAGAACAAGAAAAUUAAAUAGCUUUUGGGUGGGUAUUGCAAAAGAGGAAUGAAUUAGAAGCAAGUUUAAAACAAUAUGUCAAAGAUAUGAAAGCAACAUUUAGAACAUGCUCGUGUCUGUGAGACAUCUCUUGGGGACUUUUAACCAUUCUUUUCUAAAGAAAACUCCAAACAUCAUUAAUAUAUAAAAAUCAGAGUGUUAAAGCGGGUGUUAGGAGCCAAAGAAAAGUCAUUCAGAUGGCAUUUAAUUUAUGUAGUAUCUUAAGCAUUUUUUCAAAGUUCAAGGAAAGACUAUUUAAGACUGCCUUUUUGUGUGUGUCAUGCUGGGAAUUGAACCCAGGGCUUUGUGCACGUGAGGCUCAAGCACUCUACCAACUGAGAUAUAUCGCCAGCCUUUAAGACUAAUUCUUAAUUUUUUUGAGGUCCAAUCUUUUUGUUACUUUUCAAAAUUUCUUAAUUUUGACUGGACUAAGUAGAAACUCUGAGAGAAGACAACCUGCAUCUUUUCACAAUCUGUUUCUCUCAUUUUUCUUCUGUUGUCCAAAAGCAUAUGCUUUAG